AUACGGAGGAUCCGAGCGUUAUCCGGAUUUAUUGGGUUUAAAGGGUGCGUAGGUGGUUUGAUAAGUCAGCGGUGAAAGUUUGCAGCUUAACUGUAAAAAUGCAGUUGAAACUGUCGGACUUGAGUGUAAAUGAGGUAGGCGGAAUGCGUGGUGUAGCGGUGAAAUGCAUAGAUAUCACGCAGAACUCCGAUUGCGAAGGCAGCUUACUAAGCUACAACUGACACUGAAGCACGAAAGCGUGGGGAUCAAACAGGAUUAGAUACCCUGGUAGUCCACGCAGUAAACGAUGAUUACUAGCUGUUUGCGAUACACAGUAAGCGGCACAGCGAAAGCGUUAAGUAAUCCACCUGGGGAGUACGCCGGCAACGGUGAAACUCAAAUGAAUUGACGGGG
rnacentral:rRNA from 1 species